CCUACGGGAGGCAGCAGUAGGGAAUCUUCCACAAUGGGCGAAAGCCUGAUGGAGCAACGCCGCGUGGGUGAAGAAGGUCUUCGGAUCGUAAAACCCUGUUGUUAGAGAAGAAAGUGCGUGAGAGUAACUGUUCACGUUUCGACGGUAUCUACCCAGAAAGCCACGGCUAACUACGUGCAAGCAGCCGCGGUAAUACGUAGGUGGCAAGCGUUAUCCGGAUUAAUUGGGCGUAAAGGUAACGCAGGCGGUCUUUUAAGUCUGAUGUGAAAGCCUUCGGCUUAACCGGAGUAGUGCAUUGGAAACUGGGAGACUUGAGUGCAGAAGAGGAGAGUGGAACUCCAUGUGUAGCGGUGAAAUGCGUAGAUAUAUGGAAGAACACCAGAGGCGAAAGCGGCUAUCUGGUCUGUAACUGACGCUGAGGUUCGAAAGCGUGGGUAGCAAACAGGAUUAGAUACCCCUGUAGUC
rnacentral:rRNA from 1 species